rnacentral:rRNA from 1 species
AUUGAACGCUGGCGGCAUGCUUUACACAUGCAAGUCGAACGGCAGCGCGGGCUUCGGCCUGGCGGCGAGUGGCGAACGGGUGAGUAAUGCAUCGGAACGUGCCCAGUAGUGGGGGAUAGCCCGGCGAAAGCCGGAUUAAUACCGCAUACGACCUGAGGGUGAAAGCGGGGGACCGUAAGGCCUCGCGCUAUUGGAUCGGCCGAUGUCGGAUUAGCUAGUUGGUGGGGUAAAGGCUUACCAAGGCGACGAUCCGUAGCUGGUCUGAGAGGACGACCAGCCACACUGGGACUGAGACACGGCCCAGACUCCUACGGGAGGCAGCAGUGGGGAAUUUUGGACAAUGGGGGCAAGCCUGAUCCAGCCAUGCCGCGUGCGGGAAGAAGGCCUUCGGGUUGUAAACCGCUUUUGUUCGGGAAGAAAUCCUCUGGGCUAAUACCCCGGGGGGAUGACGGUACCGGAAGAAUAAGCACCGGCUAACUACGUG